GACGUAGGGGACGAGCGUUGUCCGGAUUUAUUGGGCGUAAAGAGCUCGUAGGCGGCUCGUCGCGUCGACCGUGAAAACCCGCGGCUUAACUGCGGGCUUGCGGUUGAUACGGGCGGGCUAGAGUUCGGUAGGGGAGAGUGGAAUUCCUGGUGUAGCGGUGAAAUGCGCAGAUAUCAGGAGGAACACCGGUGGCGAAGGCGGGUAUCUGGGCCGAUACUGACGCUGAGGCACGAAAGCGAGGGUAGCAAACGGG
rnacentral:rRNA from 1 species